rnacentral:rRNA from 1 species
GACGAACGCUGGCGGCGUGCCUAAUACAUGCGAGUUGAGCGCUGAAGGUUGGUACUUGUACCAACUGGAUGAGCAGCGAACGGGUGAGUAACGCGUGGGGAAUCUGCCUUUGAGCGGGGGACAACAUUUGGAAACGAAUGCUAAUACCGCAUAAAAACUUUAAACACAAGUUCUAAGUUUGAAAGAUGCAAUUGCAUCACUCAAAGAUGAUCCCGCGUUGUAUUAGCUAGUUGGUGAGGUAAAGGCUCACCAAGGCGAUGAUACAUAGCCGACCUGAGAGGGUGAUCGGCCACAUUGGGACUGAGACACGGCCCAAACUCCUACGGGAGGCAGCAGUAGGGAAUCUUCGGCAAUGGACGAAAGUCUGACCGAGCAACGCCGCGUGAGUGAAGAAGGUUUUCGGAUCGUAAAACUCUGUUGGUAGAGAAGAACGUUGGUGAGAGUGGAAAGCUCAUCAAGUGACGGUAACUACCCAGAAAGGGACGGCUAACUACGUG